UUAUUCCAAGCUUCUGGCUGGCAAUGAAGAGGGGAAGGUCUGCUCUUGGUCAAUUGAGGAGUAGAAGGAAGAAGUACGAUGUAAAGCUGGAUCCUCUUGAAUCCCAGGUGCUGAUGGGAGCAGAUUAGAGCUUGCGUGGUGUUAGAGAUUGCGUUGACUAACCAUCUUCCUGCCUGAGCCGACAUGCUGACCUGAUGUCAGGCUUCCCGUUCUGGGGAAUCUCCCGCUCUGGAGCGGUUCCCUGAAUUCAUGGCUUCCGUAGCUAUGAGCUCAGCUCCAGCCACCUUCGACUCACACGCUGUGCCCUAUUCGUACUGAUUCGGUCUUUUGCUUUGCCACUCGUGCUGUGUGAAUGGGGGGUGCCUUGUUUCACCUGUUUACCCUGGACAACCUCUUUAUGGAUUGGGUUGAAAGACUUUCUGUGCCUGCCGAACUCCUUACAGGUGUCGUUGGCCCUUCUGAGGAUGUGGGGCAGAACGGAUUCCUCGUGUUUUUAGCAAAUGACAAGAAACGUUUCUUCGAAUGCCUCUCGCGUGAUUUAAGAAGCCAUCCAGCCCAUGUUAACAGCUGCCGACUGGUACCUUCCACUAUCCUAGGUGUAGAGAAGCCAGUGAAGAUGGUGGUGCAGCAACACAACAAGUAACAUUCGGAUAAAAUUGAUUGUCUCCAAUCUUUCUGCUAAUUUUGCCCAGACACGGCUUUGACCCCACGAUGAAUGGCCUUUCCCUGGGAGGAGAGAGCAGAGGUGAGAUUUCUGGCCUUCCGAUUAGCCUUCCGUGCUUGCUGGAGAAAGGGGCAGCUUAACAGCUCCUCCUCCCUGGGAUGGGGCUCCUCUUAGCUGAGGCACAGCCUUAGGCCUCCCUCUGGUUUAACCUCCGUGGGACCUUCUGCUGGGGAGGCAACCUACACGGAGCGGGUUGCCUCCGUCCAGAGGUGAUCCCGGAGGCCUUUCCUGUGAGCCCGGGAUUUGGUGCCCCCAAAGCCUCGAGGCAUCUUCAAGCGGCUCGGCUGGGGCCGCCCGUCGGAGGAGGAUCCGGCAACUCAGCUCCCCCUCAGUCCGUGAAGACUCAGGCGCUUCGGAAUGGAUUUUACUGGCCAAAUGUUACAUAAAAUGCAACGGCCUCCUGAAUGCUGAGAAGUCCUCUUCCUCCCCACCUCCCCUUCUCCCUCGGGCUGGCCUUCCACACGCACAAAAAUACCCGGCCUUUUCUCCAUUAUUUUUAUAGCUGUUUUUAUCCCUAAUAAAUGGUUAGGAUCAACAA